CCCAGGCUUUGGGAUAACCCCGGGAAACCGGGGCUAAUACCGAAUAUGACCUUGCACCGCAUGGUGUUUGGUGGAAAGUUUUUCGGCUUGGGAUGGGCUCGCGGCCUAUCAGCUUGUUGGUGGGGUGAUGGCCUACCAAGGCGACGACGGGUAGCCGGCCUGAGAGGGCGACCGGCCACACUGGGACUGAGACACGGCCCAGACUCCUACGGGAGGCAGCAGUGGGGAAUAUUGCACAAUGGGCGGAAGCCUGAUGCAGCGACGCCGCGUGAGGGAUGACGGCCUUCGGGUUGUAAACCUCUUUCAGCAGGGACGAAGCGUAAGUGACGGUACCUGCAGAAGAAGCGCCGGCCAACUACGUGCCAGCAGCCGCGGUAAGACGUAGGGCGCGAGCGUUGUCCGGAUUUAUUGGGCGUAAAGAGCUCGUAGGCGGCUUGUCGCGUCGACUGUGAAAACCCGCAGCUCAACUGCGGGCCUGCAGUCGAUACGGGCAGGCUAGAGUUCGGUAGGGGAGACUGGAAUUCCUGGUGUAGCGGUGAAAUGCGCAGAUAUCACGAGGAACACCGGUG
rnacentral:rRNA from 1 species